AACGAACGCUGGCGGCAGGCCUAACACAUGCAAGUCGAGCGCCCCGCAAGGGGAGCGGCGGACGGGUGAGUAACGCGUGGGAACGUACCCUUUUCUGCGGAAUAGCCCAGGGAAACUUGGAUUAAUACCGCAUACGCCCUUCGGGGGAAAGAUUUAUCGGAGAAGGAUCGGCCCGCGUUGGAUUAGGUAGUUGGUGGGGUAAUGGCCUACCAAGCCGACGAUCCAUAGCUGGUUUGAGAGGAUGAUCAGCCACACUGGGACUGAGACACGGCCCAGACUCCUACGGGAGGCAGCAGUGGGGAAUCUUCGGCAAUGGGCGCAAGCCUGACCGAGCCAUGCCGCGUGAGCGAUGAAGGCCUUAGGGUUGUAAAGCUCUUUCGCCAGGGAUGAUAAUGACAGUACCUGGUAAAGAAACCCCGGCUAACUCCGUG
rnacentral:rRNA from 1 species